GAUGAACGCUGGCGGCGUGCCUAAUACAUGCAAGUCGAGCGAACAGACGAGGAGCUUGCUCCUCUGACGUUAGCGGCGGACGGGUGAGUAACACGUGGAUAACCUACCUAUAAGACUGGGAUAACUUCGGGAAACCGGAGCUAAUACCGGAUAAUAUAUUGAACCGCAUGGUUCAAUAGUGAAAGACGGUUUUGCUGUCACUUAGAGAUGGAUCCGCGCCGCAUUAGCUAGUUGGUAAGGUAACGGCUUACCAAGGCAACGAUGCGUAGCCGACCUGAGAGGGUGAUCGGCCACACUGGAACUGAGACACGGUCCAGACUCCUACGGGAGGCAGCAGUAGGGAAUCUUCCGCAAUGGGCGAAAGCUUGACGGAGCAACGCCGCGUGAGUGAUGAAGGUCUUCGGAUCGUAAAACUCUGUUAUUAGGGAAGAACAAAUGUGUAAGUAACUAUGCACGUCUUGACGGUACCUAAUCAGAAAGCCACGGCUAACUACGUG
rnacentral:rRNA from 1 species